GUGUCGGUUUCCGCAAGGAAUUGAAAGGGAAUCCGCCGGGGCGUUUCACGUCCCGAACCGGAACUGCCCCCGCAACUGUAGGCGGUGAGCCCGGCUCGGAAUAUGCCACUGGACCUUGGGUCCGGGAAGGUCGAGCCAGCUGUGACCCGUCAGUCAGGAGACCUGCCGGCGACGUUUG
rnacentral:ncRNA from 1 species